GGCGGGCUGGGGUAGCCCCUGGGCGCCGUGGCCGUCCACGGCGAGCAGGGUGCCGGCCAGCGGCUGUUCGGCUAGGUCGUCCACCA
rnacentral:tRNA from 1 species